GUUCUAAAAUUGUACUUUUGCUCUGUUCAGUCAUUCAAAGUUGAAAUUGAAGUUUCCUAGCAUUCUCUGAUGUGCCAAUUUAUAUUUUAAAGUUCAAAGGAGACUUGCAGAUCCUUCUCUUCACCUACAUGACUUCCUGUCAAAAUAAUAGAAAACUAGGAUAUCAUGAUUCCCCAGUGAACAAAAGGGAUUAUGAUGAAUAAGGAAGGUGACUUAACAGCAAACCUAAAAUGACUGAAUAUAAAUAAGGAUUUAAUAAAUUUUAAGAGAAACUCAGGAGAAUCUAUGUCUUACAAGUCAGCAAGAUGGGAGAUAGUGAAGAGAAGUAUAAGUAACAUGUAUAAUAUGAAAAGUAUGUAAAUCCAAAAUCAAUUAGUAGGAUUCAAUUGGAUUUGAGAAAUCUGAGUGAAAAGAACAGACACACACACUGGGAUAAAACUGCUAGUUUGAAUGCCAAAUGAAUAUGAAAGCGGUGUCCAGGUCCUGCUUUGGGUUUACAUAGAUUGAAUGUGGAAAAAGAAUGCUGGUCUAUUUUUACUGCUGUAAUUUCAUAUAUAGCAAUUGUCAUGCUUUCUCUUUUCAAGAGGGUGCUCAAGUGCUGUAGUACUCAAGUGUUUGAAAUGGCUCUUUGGUGAGAAUAAGAGCAUCUACUGGGUAGUAUUUUUUUUUACAAGAGGUACCAUACCUUUCACAGGAUGUGUUGUACAGGCAGAUAUACAUAGCAGGGAGAGAUGUGCAUAUAUCUAGCAAUUAUUAAAUCUAAGCAUGACAACAUGUAAACAGAAUUCAUGGAAGAGAUGGCACGGCAGAAUCCUAUGUUGCUGCAUGCCGACUUCAUUGAUCAUGGGAACUUAGUUGUUCAGCAGCUAUGUCUGCUAGAUUUCACUCCCAGCAAAUUAUGAAAAAUUCAGCAUUAAGGAUUCCUAGCAGAGCAGCUUGCAAGUAGGUCAAAGUGAAAGGAAAAAAUGACUUUGCUGAAGAAACAUGCACCUUGUUAAGGAACCUUGAAAAGGUUGACUUUUAUAGUUCGUUUUAUGUUUGGUUUGACUUAUUUUAAUCUAAUUAGAUUACUGUAUAUACUCGAGUAUAAGCCUAGUUUUUCAGCCCUUUUUUAGGGCUGAAAAAGCUCCCCUCAGCUUAUACUCGAGUGAGGGUCCUGGCCGGCUUCUAUUCAGGUCAGCUUAUACUUGAGUAUAUAGGCAUUCAGAGUUGGAUAGUCUUAUCUUAUUAAAGUCUUAUUAUUAUCUUAAAUUAUGGUUUUAUAUAAAUAUUCAAAAAACAUUUAACCUACUGAUGCCUCAAAUAAUGCAAUUUUAUUAAUAUCUAUUUUUAUUUUUGAAAUUGACCCGUAGCUGCUGCAUUUCCCACCCUCGUCUUAUACUCGAGUCAAUAAGUUUUCCCAGUUUUUGUGGUAAAAUUAGGUGCCUCGGCUUAUAUUUGGGUCGGCUUAUACUCUAGUAUAUACAGUAAUUGAAAGUGCUGCAAGUCGGUAUUGCACCACCUGACAUCCGCUAGGAAGUAGCAGCCAAUAAUGAAAGGACCAAGACAGUCACAUCUCCGGCCCAUCCCCUGUUCAGAUAUCAGCUAGCACGCCAGUGCCUUAAAUCAAGAAAUAGUUUUCUAAGAUCUACAGAGAUACUCACAGGAACACCUCGGCAAAUGAGAGUCCAAAAGUGGCAGGUUAAAACUCGGAACCUCAAGCCAUGGCUAAUACCGAAUGAGAGACUCCCUCCUGGGCACACAGAAGACUGGGCAACUUGGAAGGUGCUGAACAGACUCAGCUCUGGCACCACAGGAUGCAGAGCCAACCUUAAGAAAUGAGGCCACAAAGUGGAGUCCACAACAUGCAAGUGUAGAGAAGAGCAAACCACAGAGCACCUGUUACAAUGCAGUCUGAGCCCUGCCACAAGCACAAUGGAGGACCUUCUUAUAGCAGUAUCAGAGGCACUCCAAGUGGCCAGCUACUGGUCAAAGGACAAUUACUAUAAUACCAAAUUUUUUAAUUUUGCAUUUUAAAUACAUUACAACUGUACUCUCAGUUCACUUCUGAUACAAUAAAUAAAUAAAUAGAAAGUGAAUUUGUUUUUGUUUCACUUGGUUUUGUUUGCUUAUAUGAAUUUCUGAAGCCAGAUACUGUAGGCAUAAAGGAUCACAAUAAAUUAUUUUAUAGUGGCAGCAGAAUGGAAUAAAAUAUCAUGUAUAAGUCAAUUUUAAUGGAAGGGAUUUUCUUUUUAAAGAAAGUUCUGGGAAAAGUAAGAAAAUAUAUAGGAGAUGAGCUCCUGCAAAGAUGUAAUCACUCAAUCACUCAAUCACAGUUAACAACUAACAGUGGGUUACCCUAAAGUUGUAAGUGUUUAUAAACCUGUGAAGAAACAAUUGUAUCACUGUAAUUCCAUUUUAACUGCUGUGGUUGCAUCUUUAAAAAUCUUAGGAUUGGCACUAGAGGCACUAGAGCCCUCUUGUUGAAAUGCUAAAUAUGUCCCCCAGAAUGUCAUAAACUAGAAGCAUGGCAGUUCCAUUUGAAUCAUAGUGUUAUAAUUAUAUAGUGUGAAAAUUGAGAUGUUUUGAAUACUGAUGAUUGCUGUAGCUAGAAGCCAUGAUAGUAUAAAACCUUAUUGGUCUGUAGGUAAAUUAUAGGAAUGUUCAGGUAUAUUUUAUGCAGUUUGAACUGGGAAGAUGCAAAACAUUUAACAUAGUUGCAAACACUUUCAAAUUAUGAACAGUAUAAUAUUUAAUAAUGUUUAAGUAUCUUCAGACACUGGGUCAAUUAUUAAAGGGAUCUUUAAUUUAGAAUAGAGUGUUGGUCAUAACAUUUUCGACAUGAACAUGAUUAGGGACAGAGGUCACAAACACAAAGUUAAGUUUAUUGAAAGUUGUGUCUCUUGCUUUUUCACAUCCCCCAAGCAGUUUUUCCAUUUUGAACUCUAAUUGUUAGAGAAAAUGAGUUGUUAAAACCCUAGUUGAAGAUGAAUCUGAUAUUUCUGUCCAGUGGGAUUAACCUUUAUAAAUCAGCUGUGGCUUAUUCCCUUUAGACUGUUGCUAGUUUUUCAGAAUAAGUUUGUCAGCUGUGAAAGUGACAUGUUUCUGUCACAAGAUGUGUAUCUGGAUUAGGGAAUAAUUGAAAAUAGAUCUCUCUUUGGUUGAACAAAACCAUAUCUUAAUCAUAUAUACUAACAGCGAACUCAAUUCUCUGAGUGCCAACCCUUAUGUAGCUAAAAUGGCACCAUCUCUAUGAGAAGGAAGUAUCAACAGACUUGGAAAAGUCCUAAGGAUUUUAAUAGUUCACACUCUUUAGAAAAAGGUGACCUAUAAACAGUUCAGUUAGAAUUGAGUUUGUUCAGAGGACAUAGAAUGCUGACUGAACUCAGAGUAAAAUGGAAAAAAGUAUACACACACACACACACUUUUGGAGUUUGCUGGAAUAUGGUUUGGUAUGUUGCUAGAAACCUGAAAGAGUGCUCAGUGCUACAAUACACCACUAUUUAUUUUUGUUAUUUAAACUAUUGUCAUCGAUUUUAACUAAUGAUAACCCUAUAAAUGGGAGAUCUCUUAAGUCACACUGUUAUCAACAACUUCUUGGAUCUGGGAGUUUUAGAGACAUAGUAUCACUGACUGACUCUAUUUAGCUGGAAUGUGGUCUUUCUCUUUUGCUACUGCCUUCUAUUUUACCAAGCAUUAUUGUCCUUUCUAGUAGGUCGUUUCUUCUCAUUAUAUGUCCAAAGUAAAACAGUCUCACUUUACAACCAUACCUAUAAAUUGAAAAUACAGUGGCAUGGACAAUUCCAACUUCAGUAGGCAAUGAUAUAUACAGUAUUUACUCUUCAGGGUCUUGUCUAGUUUCCUCAUAGCGGCCUUUCACAGUCCAAGUCUUUCUCCACUUUCUUAAAUGUAGUCUCCAUUCUGAUAAGCCAAGGUAUGGGAAGUCUUGAACAAUUUAAAUAUCAUAAUGUUAGGUAAACAAUCUGUGGUCAUUAUUUUUUGUUAUCUUAAUGUUCAGCUGUAAAUCUGCCUUUGGACUCUCAUAUUUGUGUUUCUUCAAUAAUCGUUCUGAGUCUUUGUUCCAAGUCAUCUGUAUAUCUUCCUCCCAUUUUCACAUCUCCUUCUUCUGAGUCUGAUCCUGGCUUAUAUAGGAUACAUUUCUACUUGGAAGUACAUAAUGUAUGUAAAUAAUCUUAAUAAGUGGGAUGGUUCUUCAAUCACUGGAGUGAACUUGGAAUUUGGACUAAAUUUGGUAGAAAAACUUAAAGAUUUUCCCUCCCCCACAAAAAUAUAAUUUUUAUUAUUUAUUAUUUUAGAAUCACCUUUCCUCUUUUGAGGACAUGAUUUUGCAAGAUGUUGAGAGACUAGAGAGUCUUUGCUAUAAUUUAUCUUGAAAGUUUUGAAAUCAUUAGUAUCUAAUCUAAAUACAAUAUUUACUCAAACCAUCAAAUCUAAUGCACACCUCAAUUUUCAAAAUCCUGAAAGGUUUUGAUGGCACAUGUGAUAUCUAACUUAGGCUUUUGCUCCUUAAUAUAUUUACAUGGUUGAGAAUAGAAAAUAGUAAUACCAGUUCCUGUACACUGUGAAACACAGAAAUUGCUUUGAAAACAAGUCAGACCCAGAUGCACCACCACAGAAUCUGGGUGAAGAAAAUAUACCCAACAAUAAUAAUACCCCUGAUACCCCACUACCAGGAAAUAUUUUCCUAGAUGUGUACAGUGUCUCUGAAAAAUAGCCAGAACAACUCUACUUCCAAAGUAAAGUAACAACAGAGAAUCAGGUAAACUUUGAUGGGAAGUUGGGAAGGAAAACGAAGACAGGAAAUUGGAAGGAGGAAGGGAGGAAAAAAUAGAAGAAAGAAAAGGAAGGAAGUGGAAAAUAGGGAAGGAAAGAAAAGAAAGGAAGACAGUUGACCUGUAAUUUCAGUUCUAGAGCUCUUUUGGAGUUAUUAAGAAUAGAAAGAGUUCUAGUGUUAGAGCAAUGGCUCCCACUGAUUCAGUCUUUUGCUCUCUUACCCUGGGGUUAGACAUGUUUAAGAUCAAAUUGUGCUUUUGAGCUAUUCCAAUAAAUGCAUGUUUUUCUUAAUAUAAUUUACACAGGUAAUUACUUAAUGCAGAAUUUUCUCUGUUUCAAUGAUGUUUCAUGAUGAUCUAGGUAGGAUAUCACAUUUUGAGCACAAACUUCUUCAACAUUGGGCUACUUUACUCCCUCUCUUCUUUUGUCCUCCCAAAAAGGACUUCUUUUUUAGUUCCCUUACUCUGAUUUUUGGUUUCUAAUAUAUGAAUUUAGUAUCAUAAAUUUAAGACAAGGUCUGCUCAACUGUUAAACAGUGUUGAUGUGAAGUGGAGGCUUAAAAUGGCUUUGCUCUAUAAAUGUAUUUUGGCUGAGAAAUAUUUGUACGGCCUUCUUCAAGGACUGUUAAAAGAAAAGUGACAGGUAGAAUGUACAUGGCUUAAAAUUAUAGUUAAAGCAUAAGAGACACAAAACCAAUAUAGCUCAUAUACCCCAUAUUAGAAAAUGAGUCAGUGUGAUGUGGUGAUCUAAGUUUUGCCCUAGGAUUCAGGGAGACCAAGAAUUGGCUUAGCCAUGAGAAAUCUUUGGGUAAUCUUGGGUAAGUUGUGUUUUGCCAGCCUUGAAGAGGGCAAUGGGAAAACUGAAGAAGACUUGCAAAGAAAGCCCUGUGAUAAGGUUGCCAUAAGUGGAACUGAUCUGAAUGAAUAUCACCACAGCAACAACAAAAUUUUACAUUACAUUGCAUAUAAAAUUGCAGUCAUUGAGAAACAAAAUGUUUCAACCCAAUAAAGCUAUAUGUAUGUAAAAUAGCAUAUAUGCUUGCAAAGAAAUUAGAAACUCAACAUGAAGGAUUUUUAAAUGACCUGAAAGUGUGUAACUAGUCAUUGAUAGUUUUAAAAGGAAGAGGAAAAGCAUUUCUUUUUACAGAUUUGUUUUCCUCUGAGUGUAUCAAGGCUAUCCUAUUUGUAACAACUUGGCAGCUGAAAGGGAGCUUAGGGAAUGCAUGAAAACCUGAACUCUUCAGUAAAGGGAUAAACUUGAAGCCUCCAUUUAGGAUAUAGUGGCACAGGGGAUGGAGGGAAGAGUUUAAACACUCAAUAUACUUUUCCCUUCCUUUCUCAACAAAGUCAUGUCAUUCUGGGAAAAAUAUUUAGCACCCAGAAGGAGCAUAUGGGGUUCUUUCACACUGUACAUUUAUUGUAUUAUGAUUCCAUUCUAAUUGCCAUGGGUAUAUCCUGUAGAAUCCUAGGGUUUGUAGUUUUUUAAUGCCCUGGAACAUUUGAAAUGUCCUACUCUACACUGCAAACCCAAGGAUUCCAUAGGCUAGAACAGGGGUCCCCAAACUAAGGCCCGGGGGCCGGAUGCGGCCCUCCAAGGUCAUUUACCUGGCCCCCGCCCUCAGUUUUAUAAUAUAAUAUUUUUAUAUCAGUUUUAAUAAUAUAAUAUAUUGUAUAUACAUAUAAUAUUGAUAAUAAUAUUAUGUUAUACAAUAUAAUAUUAAUAGUAAUGCCAUAUAAUAAUAUUAAUUAUAUGUUAUAUAUUACAUAUUAUAUAAUAGUAUAGUGGUAUAGUUCAAUAUAGUAAUAUAUAAUGCUAAUAUUGUGUUAUGCUAAUAAUAUAAUAUAUUGUGUGUACAUACAGCUGCUCUGAGUCCCUUUCGGGAUGAGAAGGGUGGGAUAUAAAUGUAGUAAAUAAAUGCAGUAAAUAAAUAAUUAAUUUUAGACUUAGGCUCGGCCAAAGUCUGAAAUGACUUGAAGGCACACAACAACAACAAUCCUAAUUAACUUGACUAUCUCAUUGGCCAGUAGCAGGCCCACACUUUCCAUUGAAAUCCUGAUAGGUUUAUGUUGGUUAAAAUUGUUUUCAUUUUUAAAUAUUGUAUUGCUUUGUUGUUGUUGUUGUUGUUGCACUGCAAAUAAGACAUGUGCAGUAUGCAUAGGAAUUUGUUUUGUUUUUUUCAAAUGAUAAUUCGGCCCCUCAACAGUCUGAAGGAUUGUGGACCGGCCCUCUGCUUCUAAAGUUUGGGGACCCCUGGGCUAGAAUAUGGCAAUUAGUGCCAUCAUAGUGCUAGAAUUUUGCACUAUGUUUCUUGUUAAUAUUGCUGACUAACACUUCAUUGUAAGAACAUUUACAGCUUACAAUGUUUUCCGAUACACAAUCUGUCACAGAGAAACCACUUAACAGAGAAUACUGUGACAUGUUUAAAUAUUUUAAAUGUAUGUUUUCUCAGUUCCAUUGACCGUGGUAUUCUUCUGGGUCAUAUUGCUGGGAUGGGACUGAGAAGCACGGUUUUACAGUGAUUCCUAUCCUCCCUGGAGGGCCAUGCCCAGAAGGUAGUGCUGGAGGACUCCUGUUCAAACCCCUGGUCAUUGUCCUGCAGAGUUCUUCAGGGUUCCAUUUUGUCCCCCAUGCUGUUUAACAUAUACAUGAAACCGCUUAGAGAGGUCAUCUGGAAUUUUGGAAUUCGGUGCCACCUAUAUGCAGAUGAUACCCAAUAAUAAUAAUAAU